ACAAAAUCAACCAUUUCAGUUAUUCUCAUAAACAUAUAAUUUCAUCUCACGUAAUGCAAAUAAUCUCAAACUCAACCAAGUCAAAUAAUUCAAUUCCACAUUAUUUCUAUCAAAUUAGGAUCAGAUGACUCAUCCUUACAUUUCCUCACAUUUUUAAAUUUCAGUAACCACUUGACAAGACUAUCCGCCCGGCUCAGUCUUGCCAUCUCACAACUCGGGUAGCUAUCCGCCCGGCUCAGCUUUCCCGAUCACACAAUAUCCAUACAAAAGUCAUCAAUCCUUAAUCACAAUCAAUUCACUUCACAACACAUCACAAUCAAUUCACUUUAUAACAAGCCAAAAACAUAACUAAUAUCAACUCAGUCAACCAAGAAAUUAUCAAGUAAUCAAACAGCAGUCCCUACUCAAUAAAUACAAAGUUUAGUCUAUUAAAUACUUACCAAAAGUUAUAGGAUAACAAAGUAAUUCUAUUCUUUUUCUCUUACCACUUCCUUGCCUUUGGAUGAACCUAUUCACAUAUUCAAUACAAAUACAAUUCAAUCACAAGGCAUAUAUAUAUAUAUAUAUAUAUAUAUAUAUAUAUAUAUAUAUAUAUAUAUAUAUAUAUAUAUAUUUACUAUCAAUAAAAUAUCACAUUUCAACAAAAUAACAUAUAUUCUAGAUAUUAAUAUGAUGCAUGAGAUGAAUGACAACAAAUCAACAUAUUUGUUGAUGAAGGCAGCUUGUAGGUACUGACUUAGAAAUGAUACCAAAACUUAUGUACAAUUAAUAAAAAUCUCAUAUUUUCCAGAAUUACACUUCCAUUUUUAUAGAAACCAUAGCAGAAAGAAUCACUUCAAAAUCAUUGGUAUAGAAAUAGUUAUGGCAUUUUCUAUACAGCUGCUCAAAUUUCUAUUUAAACAGAACAGCAAAAAGUUUCCUAUUAAAUGACCAAUCAAACGAAUGAAUUUUCUGAUGAAACUCUCCAGAUAUAAAUUUAACAUUCUAAAGUUUCUAUAGACACUAAUUUUACUCAAUUUGGACUUCUCUAGCUCAAGUUGUGAAACACACAAUUAGCAACAAAUUUCUGAAUCCUAAGCCCGAUUUCUGCUUAAAACAGUUUCGGGCAGGCCAUAUUAAGUUCAACAUAUCUCACGUUAUACUGAAUCAAAAAUUAUGAAAUUUUGCAGACAUAUACUAGAUAUAUAAAUGAACAACUUUCAUGUUUAACUCUCUGCUUGGUUCAGCCUCUAAAUGCCUCAAAAUGUCAGCAUAAAAACCAGGUCACCUGCUGAACUAAAAAUAGAGCAGCAGCAAAAUCGAACCUCAUAAGUUCCUACUCACUCAACAAUCUGCAAAACCAUUUUAUAGAGAUAUUCUUGAGACAUAUACCUACAACUUUCAUGUUUGAAAAUUUUCGAGAUAAAGCCUCUAAGGUCACGAAAUAAUAAGUGAAAAAUCUGCCCAGAAAUCUCAGCUUCAAGAUCACAAGUAAAAGCAUGUUUACUCUUGAUUAAAUAAUUCCAAAACACAUAAUCAUCAACAAUUUCAUAUCAUUAACCCUAAUUUACAGCAAAAUCAAGCAAUUAAAAUUACUCACCUUUAUUUUCCUUGAUUAAGAAAGCCCAAAUCUUUCAAGCUUAAAAGAAGAAUU
rnacentral:lncRNA from 1 species